UACGAAGGGGGCUAGCGUUGUUCGGAUUUACUGGGCGUAAAGCGCACGUAGGCGGAUCGAUCAGUCAGGGGUGAAAUCCCAGAGCUCAACUCUGGAACUGCCUUUGAUACUGUCGAUCUGGAGUAUGGAAGAGGUGAGUGGAAUUCCGAGUGUAGAGGUGAAAUUCGUAGAUAUUCGGAAGAACACCAGUGGCGAAGGCGGCUCACUGGACCGGUAUUGACGCUGAGGUGCGAAAGCGUGGGGAGCAAACAGG
rnacentral:rRNA from 1 species